GCUGGAAUCGCUAGUAAUCGCGGAUCAGAAUGCCGCGGUGAAUACGUUCCCGGGUCUUGUACACACCGCCCGUCACACCAUGGGAGUCGGAAAUGCCCGAAGUCUGUGACCCAACCUUAGGGAGGGAGCAGCCGAAGGCAGGUCGGAUGACUGGGGUGAAGUCGUAACAAGGUAAC
rnacentral:rRNA from 1 species